rnacentral:rRNA from 1 species
UACAGAGGUCCCGAGCGUUGUUCGGAUUCACUGGGCGUAAAGGGUGCGUAGGUGGCUUGAAAAGUUCGGUGUGAAAGCUCGGAGCUUAACUCCGAAAUGUCAUUGAAUACUAUCUGGCUGGAGGGUCGGAGGGGAGACUGGAAUUUACGGUGUAGCAGUGAAAUGCGUAGAUAUCGUAAGGAAGACCGGUGGCGAAGGCUAGUCUCUGGACAGUUACUGACACUGAGGCACGAAGGCCAGGGGAGCAAACGGG